GACGUAGGGGGCAAGCGUUGUCCGGAAUCACUGGGCGUAAAGGGCGCGUAGGCGGCGCGGGAAGUCAUCGGUGAAAGUUCAGGGCUCAACUCUGAAUCGGCCGGUGAUACUCUUGUGCUUGAGCACUGUAGAGGCAGGUGGAAUUCCGGGUGUAGCGGUGGAAUGCGUAGAGAUCCGGAAGAACACCGGUGGCGAAGGCGGCCUGCUGGGCAGUAGCUGACGCUGAUGCGCGACAGCGUGGGGAGCAAACAGG
rnacentral:rRNA from 1 species